rnacentral:rRNA from 2 species
AGAGUUUGAUCCUGGCUCAGAGUGAACGCUGGCGGCGUGCCUAAUACAUGCAAGUCGAACGAUGAAGCUUCUAGCUUGCUAGAGUGCUGAUUAGUGGCGCACGGGUGAGUAACGCAUAGGUCAUGUGCCUCUUAGUUUGGGAUAGCCAUUGGAAACGAUGAUUAAUACCAGAUACUCCCUACGGGGGAAAGAUUUAUCGCUAAGAGAUCAGCCUAUGUCCUAUCAGCUUGUUGGUAAGGUAAUGGCUUACCAAGGCUAUGACGGGUAUCCGGCCUGAGAGGGUGAACGGACACACUGGAACUGAGACACGGUCCAGACUCCUACGGGAGGCAGCAGUAGGGAAUAUUGCUCAAUGGGGGAAACCCUGAAGCAGCAACGCCGCGUGGAGGAUGAAGGUUUUAGGAUUGUAAACUCCUUUUGUUAGAGAAGAUAAUGACGGUAUCUAACGAAUAAGCACCGGCUAACUCCGUGCCAGCAGCCGCGGUAAUACGGAGGGUGCAAGCGUUACUCGGAAUCACUGGGCGUAAAGAGCGCGUAGGCGGGAUAGUCAGUCAGGUGUGAAAUCCUAUGGCUUAACCAUAGAACUGCAUUUGAAACUACUAUUCUAGAGUGUGGGAGAGGUAGGUGGAAUUCUUGGUGUAGGGGUAAAAUCCGUAGAGAUCAAGAGGAAUACUCAUUGCGAAGGCGACCUGCUGGAACAUUACUGACGCUGAUUGCGCGAAAGCGUGGGGAGCAAACAGGAUUAGAUACCCUGGUAGUCCACGCCCUAAACGAUGGAUGCUAGUUGUUGGAGGGCUUAGUCUCUCCAGUAAUGCAGCUAACGCAUUAAGCAUCCCGCCUGGGGAGUACGGUCGCAAGAUUAAAACUCAAAGGAAUAGACGGGGACCCGCACAAGCGGUGGAGCAUGUGGUUUAAUUCGAAGAUACACGAAGAACCUUACCUAGGCUUGACAUUGAGAGAAUCCGCUAGAAAUAGUGGAGUGUCUAGCUUGCUAGACCUUGAAAACAGGUGCUGCACGGCUGUCGUCAGCUCGUGUCGUGAGAUGUUGGGUUAAGUCCCGCAACGAGCGCAACCCCCUUUCUUAGUUGCUAACAGGUCAUGCUGAGAACUCUAAGGAUACUGCCUCCGUAAGGAGGAGGAAGGUGGGGACGACGUCAAGUCAUCAUGGCCCUUACGCCUAGGGCUACACACGUGCUACAAUGGGGUGCACAAAGAGAAGCAAUACUGCGAAGUGGAGCCAAUCUUCAAAACGCCUCUCAGUUCGGAUUGUAGGCUGCAACUCGCCUGCAUGAAGCUGGAAUCGCUAGUAAUCGCAAAUCAGCCAUGUUGCGGUGAAUACGUUCCCGGGUCUUGUACUCACCGCCCGUCACACCAUGGGAGUUGUGUUUGCCUUAAGUCAGGAUGCUAAAUUGGCUACUGCCCACGGCACACACAGCGACUGGGGUGAAGUCGUAACAAGGUAACCGUAGGUGAACCUGCGGUUG